GAUGAACGCUGGCGGCGUGCCUAAUACAUGCAAGUCGAGCGAUAAGACGCGGCGCUUGGCUCUCUGACGUUAGAGGCGGACGGGUGAGGACCACGUGGAUACACUACCUAUAAGUAUCGGAUAAAUUCGGGAAACAGUAGCUAAUACGGGCUAAUAUAGUGAACCGGUUGGUUCAAUAGUGCAAGCGGGUUUAGCGGUCACUUAUAGAUGGAUUCGUGCCGGAUUAGCUAGUUGGUAAGGUAACGGCUCACCAAGGCAACGAUGCGUAGCCGACCUGAGAGGAUGAUCGGCCACACUGGAACUGAGACACGGUCCAGACUCCUACGGGAGGCAGCAGUAGGGAAUCUUCGGCAAAGGGCGAAAGCCUGACCGAGCAACGCCGCGUGAGUGAAGAAGGUCUUCGGAUCGUAAAACUCUGUUAUUAGGGAAGAACAAGUUCGUGAGUAACUAUGCACGUCUUGACGGUACCGAAUCAGAAAGCCACGGCUAACUACGUG
rnacentral:rRNA from 1 species